GCUCUUGGCAGUUGGGAUUCAGACCUUGACAGUUGUAACUGAUAGACAGGGCUGGGGCAAUGCUGAUGAAAGGCAAAUUCCUGAGAGAAAAAUCACCCAAAUUUUUCAGUGCCUUCUCUAGCUUUCUAGAAGUUGUUAUGAGUGGACCUGACUACCUAGAGAGAGUAAUACAGAAGCUCCAUGCCGAUCACAGCUACCUCAUUACCAAGUUCCUCCAAGAUGGCCGCCCCUGAGGAGAAUCAUCAACUGGGCUUUACGGAAGAGAGAAAUCCAAACGACCAUCAGCAACAAAUGAAAGACUGAAGUUGAAAGGCAAGUCUUCAGAUUUGGAUUUCAAGAUUGUCAAGAAUGACAAGUUGGACUUGGUCUAGUUACUUCCACAGCAGCAGGAGGAACAUGUGUGUGACUCAGGAUAACUGGGGAAGCCUUGGCUAGGCUUUCCUCAUGUCAACCUACCACUCAAAGGGAGAAAACCUCCUGAUCAGAGGAAAUCCAUAAUUUUUGAAUGCUGGCCGAGGUCUGUGACCUCUGACUGAAUGGUUUCCAAGCUCUGAAUUCCUAGGUAUAACACUUGCUGAAGAAAGGAAAAGCUCUCUGAUUUAGGUGUAAGCAAAACAAUCUAAACAGUAGGAUAAAAUCGUGUUGGAGUGGAGUUCUGUGUGAGCGCUGUCUUUGAACCAAAUCAGUUCCACAACUGACCCUG
rnacentral:lncRNA from 1 species